rnacentral:rRNA from 1 species
CCUGGUAAUUUUUGCGUAGGUGUAACACCCGAUACCAUUCCGAACUCGGAAGUUAAGCCCUUCAGCGCCAAUGGUACUUUGUCUUAAGGCAUGGGAGAGUAGGACGUUGCCAGGC